AGCUUCCGGAGCAGCUGGGACUGCUGGCGCCCGCCACUACGCUCGGCUAAUUUUUUUGUGUUUUUAGUAGAGACGGGCUUUCACCGUGUUGGCCUAGCGGUUCUCCAACUCCUGACCUCAUGAUCCCCCCGCCUCAGCCUCCCAAAGUGCUGGGAUUACAAGCGUGAGCCACCGCGACCCGCCAACACUCUUGACAACAGUGCUGUGCUAAGAACUUGGGGGACUUCAAAAAGUUCACCAGUUCCUGUGUCCAUGGGUGAAAAGAUUUUCUACAUCUUUCCUUGACUAGAAACAGAAGUCCUGAAACAAGAAUAUAACGUCAGGAGGCCAGAGGCUUUGUCCUGCCUAAUGUGUUAUUUCCACACUGAAUAAAAGCACCUGAGUCCUGGUCUCAGAGUGAGAACAAUGUCUUCUAUGAUGAGUGGCAAACACAACAAGGCAUUUUAAAAAGGUUGUACAUCUAGCAAUACCUAACAAAAUAGGAAAUCAACUUGGAAAGCCAAUGGCUGUGUUUUGAGUUUAUGGAGAGCCAUAUGUGGCAAGGAACUGAGGGUGGCAUCCAGGCAACAGACUUCAAGAAACUGAGGCUGUCAGUCCAACAACCCACAAGAACUGAAUCUGACCAACAAUCACAGGAACAAACUUAGAAGUAUACUCUUUCCCAGACAAACCUUCAGAUGAGACCACAGCCCCAGCCAUAAGCUUGAAAACAAUCUCAUGAGGGACCUUGAGCCACAGGCAUGUAGUAAAGCUAUGCCAGGAAUCCUGCCUGCCCCACAGAAAAUGUAAAAAAAAUAAAUUUUUAUUGUUUUAAGCCACGAAGUUUUGAAGUAAUUUGAUAUAAAACAAUAGAUAAUUAAUACACAUAGAGAAAAAUUAAGCAGGGAAAGGAGAUAGCUAGUGCUGGAAGAAUGAAGUGAGAAACAUGGUAAUUUAUACAGCAUCAUCAGAGAAGGUCUCAAUCAGAUUUUAACAUUUAAGCAAAACUUUGGAGGAACUGAGAGAGUGAGCUAUCCAUGGGAGGAAGUUUCCAGAAAAAGGAAGAAUAGGUGCAAAGGCACUGAGGUAGGAGUAAUUCUAUAUGUUUAGCGAAGGCAAGGAUGCUAGCAUGGCU
rnacentral:lncRNA from 1 species